rnacentral:rRNA from 1 species
GAUGAACGCUGGCGGCGUGCCUAACACAUGCAAGUCGAACGAACAGACGAGGCGCUUGCUCCUCUCUCGUUAGCCGAGGACGUGUGUGUAACACGUGUAUCCUCCACCUAUCAGUCUGGGAUAACUUCGGGACACCGGAGCAUACACCGUAUAAUAUAUUGAUCCGUAUUGGUCAUUGGUAAGUGUCGGUUUUGCUGUCUGUAAUCGCUGCUUCCGCGCCGCAUUGGCUAGUUGGUACGGUCACGGAGUACCAAGGCGACGAUGCGUAGCCGACCUGAGAGGGUGAUCGGCCACACUGGAACGGAGACACGGUCCAGACGCCUACGGGAGGCAGCAGUAGGGAAUCUUCCGCAAUGGGCGAAAGCCUGACGGAGCAACGCCGCGUGAGGGAUGAAGGUCUUCGGAUCGUGAAACUCGGUUAUUAGGGAAGAACAAAUGUGUAAGUAACUAUGCGCGUCUUGACGGUACCUAGGCAGAAAGCCACGGCUAACUACGUGC